rnacentral:rRNA from 1 species
UGAGGAAUAUUGGGCAAUGCCCGCAAGGGUGACCCAGCAACGCCGCGUGGAGGAUGAAUGUCGUAAGAUUGUAAACUCCUGUUAGAGGGGAAGAAUAGUACCGGUUGGACCGGUAUAUGACUGUACCCUCAGAGAAAGCCCCGGCUAACUACGUGCCAGCAGCCGCGGUAAUACGUAGGGGGCAAGCGUUGUCCGGAUUUACUGGGUGUAAAGGGCGCGCAGGCGGGAUAAAAAGUCAGUGGUGAAAUCCUACAGCUUAACUGUAGAACUGCCUUGGAUACUUUUAUUCUUGAGUUCGGGAGAGAGAGACGGGAUUCCAGGUGUAGUGGUGAAAUACGUAGAUAUCUGGAAGAACACCAGUUGCGAAGGCGGUCUCUUGGUCCGACACUGACGCUGAGGCGCGAAAGCGUGGGGAGCAAACA